UUGUCACAGUGAGUCUGUGGCCUUUUAGUUUGUCCGCGUCUUGUCAAGUUCCUUCGUUUGUGCCAUAGUCUUCGGACCUCGUUUCGUGUUUUUUGGAUACUGCCUUGAGUCUAGCCUGCCUUGUCUGACUGGUACACCUGGUAUAGAGCUCGCGCACAUGACGUCACCAUUUUCACGGCGCCAUGUUGGCGGUCAAAAAGAGCUGCUCGACAGUGUGGGGGACAUUGAACCGGAGCAGAAUAUUCACGACGCCCGAGACUUGUUGUGCUGUUGGUUGUCACAACAGCCGAGACAGAUAUUCAAAGAGAUCAUUCUAUGGAAUACCAGCUGAAAAGACGAGAAAGGAUCGAUGGAUUUCGGCAAUUCAACGUGAUGGAUGGCGGCCAACCAAAUACACACGACUGUGUAGUGAUUGCUUCACUUCUGGUUGAGAGUGCCGUUUGGCAGGAGACGCCGCCGACACAUUUGAAGAUGUCGGGACGCCGUCCAAACAGUUGAGCGAAACGUUGCGACUGUCAAGCUAAAAUUCUUCAAGUGUCAGGCACCAAGACAAGUCAGCCCAUUCCGGAAAGACACUGUGAAAGUCCUGUUCCUGAUCUCCCGUGUACCGAUCCCUGCUUGCCCGCUGACCUGCCUUCUCCGCCUGACAUCCUGGUUACCGCUGCUCCAGUUGACUUGUCUGCUUGAUCCCCGACCUUGGAACGAAUAAACACUUUUCCCGAAAUGCCUCUCCACCUCCGGAGUCCUGCAUUUGGGUCCUCCCCCGCACCGAUGGGUCGUGACAAGCUUGGUUGAAGUCUCCUAGAGUAAUGAGGGGUGAGUCUGGGUGUUUUUUUCUCAAAUUUGUGUACUUGUUCGACUGUUAGCAGUGCUGCGUUCAUGUUAGUCUGAGGCGUAACGUACGCCUACAAGUACAAAU